UGCCACUGCACUCCAGCCUGGGUGACAGAGCAAGACUCUGUCUCAAAAAAAAAAAAAAAUUACUGAAAUUUCUUUUUUAUUUAUUUUUCUUCUAAGACAGGGUCUUGCUGUGUUGCCCAGGCUAGAUUGCAGUGGCUAUUCACAGGUGUGAUCCUGCUACUGAGCAGCUAAAGUACUAAGCCAUUUCUAAAAAAAGGGCAAACAAAAAAAAGAGUAAACAAACUCUUCUGACAUUCCACACAUUACCCUUUGCUGUUAGGCAGUAAGAGAAGAAUAAGAGCAGGAGGGCAAACAUAUGAUGAGAACUUACAACAAAAGUGACCAUUCAUCGUCACGAAAUACCUUUAACCAACAUACAAAGAGCCCAUGGUACACGUGUGUAAACCAAAUAUCAAGCUCCUUAGAAAAAGUAUUGGCAACAAGAGCGAAACUCCGUCUCAAAAAAAAAAAAAAAAAAAAAGAAGUUGGGCAGAUGACAGAGGGAAAGAUAGGAAAAAUGGAAACUUUUCUCGAUGAGCGUGUGCAAGGAGACCUGAACCUAUUUUGG
rnacentral:lncRNA from 10 species